rnacentral:tRNA from 2 species
GCGUCGCUAGCUCAACUGGCAGAGCAGCGGACUCUUAAUCCGCGGGUUGUAGGUUCGAGUCCUACGCGACGCACCA